rnacentral:piRNA from 1 species
UGCUGCACUUUAAAGUCACGGAAGCCC